GACGAACGCUGGCGGCGUGCUUAACACAUGCAAGUCGAACGGAAAGGCCCUGCUUUUGUGGGGUGCUCGAGUGGCGAACGGGUGAGUAACACGUGAGUAACCUGCCCUUGACUUUGGGAUAACUUCAGGAAACUGGGGCUAAUACCGGAUAGGAGCUCCUGCUGCAUGGUGGGGGUGGAAAGGUUCGGCGGUUGGGGAUGGACUCGCGGCUUAUCAGCUUGUUGGUGGGGGAGUGGCUUACCAAGGCUUUGACGGGUAGCCGGCCUGAGAGGGUGACCGGCCACAUUGGGACUGAGAUACGGCCCAGACUCCUACGGGAGGCAGCAGUGGGGAAUAUUGCACAAUGGGCGGAAGCCUGAUGCAGCAACGCCGCGUGCGGGAUGACGGCCUUCGGGUUGUAAACCGCUUUCGCCUGUGACGAAGCGUGAGUGACGGUAAUGGGUAAAGAAGCACCGGCUAACUACGUG
rnacentral:rRNA from 1 species